UUCAGACAUUUGUAUGUCCUUGCAACGGACGCUCGCUGGCUUCAAACUAUUGGUGUCGACACUGACCUCCCUGUUUAUGCUCCUCUUGAAGUCACAAUCAGGGAAACGGAGCAUUAUUCUGAAACGAGUUUUUGUGAGAUUACUCCUUGCAUUCUGCCUGAGCGUUCUACUUUGAAAACUGUUCGUGUCUGUAGC